AACGUUAUUGGAUAUAUAUGAUAAUAACAUCCUGAAGAUUGAUUAUCUACUUAGUUUGACCAGUUUAUUCGACCUGGAAUAUCUUUUGGACGUUUUGGUGCAAGUUAUCCUGGACCAGCAGUCAGUUUUUGGGCACGUGAGCUCAAAGCUAUGUGCAAAUGCAGCUACUUGGACACUAGUAUUGGACAUUAUGGAACAAAUCAACGAUUUAUUGUGGAACUAGGACUCCUUGCACUACAUUCUGAUGAAAGAUCAUCAAAGAUACAGGGAACAUAGUGUGAAGACCAGUGGGGCGGGAUUCGAUCCAACACAUGCAGGGGAUGGUAUAUGUGCCAAGAGCAGCAACCUCAACCUCUUAGGCCCAGAAGGAAACUAUUUUACCUUGUUUGAGUUCUUCAGCUGUAGCAUGGCAGGGUCGUCGUGAGGCUGGCCAGCCGCUGCCUUGGUGGCACUGAAGAGGUCACCCAGAGCCUUGGUCACAUUUUUGACAGCAUCAGGACCACCUACAGAGGACAUAGCAGAGAGAGAAAAAAAAGAGUGGAAGUUCAGAGUGGUGAGAAGAUGACAUCUACUUGCUGGACCUGAGCCCUAGGACCAUGCCCCAGGACUACCUGACAUGAUGACUCCUUGCUGUCCCCAGUCCAUUUGAACAUCUUGGCCAUGUUCUGUUAUAAUCUCCACCCGGCACAGCCAGAAGAGGACUGGCCACCCCACAUAGCCUGGUUCCUCUCUAGGUUUCCUUCUAGGGACUUUUUCCUAGCCACCGUGCUUCUACACCUGCAUUGCUUGCUGUUUGGGGUUUUAGGCUGGGUUUCUGUACAGCACUUUGAGAUAUCAGCUGAUGUACGAAGGGCUAUAU
ensembl:lncRNA